UACGGAGGGUGCAAGCGUUAUCCGGAUUCACUGGGCUUAAAGGGCGCGUAGGUGGGCUGGUAAGUCAGUGGUGAAAUCUCCAGGCUUAACUUGGAAACUGCCAUUGAUACUAUCAGUCUUGAAUACCGUGGAGGUCAGCGGAAUAUGUCAUGUAGCGGUGAAAUGCUUAGAUAUGACAUAGAACACCAAUUGCGAAGGCAGCUGGCUACACGAAUAUUGACACUGAUGCGCGAAAGCGUGGGGAGCAAACAGG
rnacentral:rRNA from 1 species